GAUGAACGCUGGCGGCGUGCCUAAUACAUGCAAGUCGAACGAAAGGACGCGGAGCUUGCGUUUCUGAUGUUAGCGGAGGACGGGAGAGUCACACGUGGAUACCCUACCUAUCAGACUGGGAUAACUACGGGAAACCGGCUCUUAUCCCGGAUAAUCUUUUGCACCGCGUGGUUCACAAGUGAAAUUCGGUCGUGCUGUCACUAAUAGAUGGAUCCGCGCUGCAUUAGCUAGUUGUUAAGGUAACGGCUUACCAAGGCAGCGAGGCAUAGCCGACCUGCGAGAGUGGUAGGCCACAUUGGAAGUGAGACAGGGACCAGACUCCUGCGGGAGGCCGCAGUAGGGAAUCCUACGCAAUGGUGGAGAGCCUUACGGAGCAAGGCGGCGUGAGAGAUGAAGGUGUUCGGUGCGGAAAGCUCUGUUAUGAGUGGUGAACAUAUGUGUAAUUAACCGUGGAGAUAGUGACGGUACCGGGUCAAAAAGCCCCGGCUAACUACGUG
rnacentral:rRNA from 1 species